rnacentral:rRNA from 1 species
UACGAAGGGUGCGAGCGUUUGUUCGGAAUUAUUGGGCGUAAAGCGCACGUAGGCGCCUUGUAAGUCUCACUGUGAAAGCCCGGGGCUCAACCCCGGGAGGCCAGGGGAUACUGCAAGGCUGGAGACAAGCAGAGGUUGGUAGAAUUCCGGGUGUAGCGGUGGAAUGCGUAGAGAUCCGGAGGAAUACCAGAGGCGAAGGCGGCCAACUGGGCUUGUUCUGACGCUGAGGUGCGAAAGCGUGGG